GGAUGGGAGAAUAAGCUACGAAGAGUUUGCGGCAAUGAUGAAAACAGGAACGGAUUGGAGAAAGGCGUCUCGUCAUUACUCGAGAGGGAGAUUCAAUAGCCUAAGCAUCAAGCUAAUGAAGGACGGAUCUUUAAACCUAGGCAACGAAUAGUGAACAAAGUGAGUAAGCCAGCCGCAUUAGAUUAUUUUAGAGUUUUUCUCUCUCUCUCACGUCAUGUCCUCCACAUCAAGCAUUAAAGCCAAGAUAAGUCAAACAUCUUCGGACUCGGAAUUAGUCUUUCUUUUUGUAAAUCUUUCGUUUCUUAAUCUGUUUCUUUAUUUGUGGUGAUUCAUGCUAUCUGUGUCCUUUAUUGGUUUGUGGGCUGAGUUGUGGUAGAAAGGUUUAAGACAUGAGAAUCAAUGUUUGAUGUGUAGAAGAAGAAAAACGACCUUUCGGGUAAAUGAUGUUUUAAUAUGAAUCACUCCCAAGUAUAUUUUGCUGACAUAAGUUGCUUAAAACCCAUAAUUAGUGUUUUGGAUUAUGAAUUUAAACAUGUUUCAUAACCUAAAAGUAAGUGUCAACGUUAAGAAAAUGAAAGAGAUCAUCGAUGAAUCAUGAGGCUGUUUCCAAAUUCAACACGAAAUCUACCUAGUACCUACUUUCCUUGGUCCUGUUUGUUAGGGCAUAAACAUCACCAGCAACCCCUUACAUUAUUGACCUGCAAGGCAGUCAAAAAGUUCAAUCAUCGUAUCACAAAAUCUUUACUGAGAUGAAUCACUCAUCUUAUAGAAAACAAAGAAACAACAAAACUGUUUAGUAAACUCAUCGUUUUGUUUUUUAUUGGGCUUGGUUAUUAGGAUGGAACUUCUCAUUAUUCUAUUGUUGUGCUAUUCAUCGCUGCAUGUUUCUUCGUUGACCAGAUUCCUCAGAGUAAGUAGUAACUGUAAGAUUACAAUGAUGAAACAAAAUACGUAAUAAUGAUCAACAGAACAUCCAGAUGGUAGGGACGUAGGGAUUCAAGCAAGGAUGCCGGAGGAGGAUUUUUCUCUGCUUAAAAUGACAUGAAAAAGAAGACAGUGUGAUUUGAUUGAUUGGUCAGCCAGAGAGACUGUCAGAGAGAACGAGGGAGGUGGCUUGAUGAAGACUGGUUUCUUUGAUCUUUUAAAGAAGUCUAGUUUCUCUUGCUUUCUUUGUUUGCAUUUCAUGUUUCGUCUUGUAUAUUAUGUGUGUUUUGAUAUGAAUUUCUGAUAAAAGAGAAGCUGGUUCUCUCAUAAACCUAAGGAAUUCAGUUUUUGUUAGUUGAUGAAUCAUGGUUCUAUUUUCAUAUUUGAUCUCAUCAGGAACGGAUUGGAGAAAGGCGUCUCGUCAUUACUCGAGAGGGAGAUUCAAUAGCCUAAGCAUCAAGCUAAUGAAGGACGGAUCUUUAAACCUAGGCAACGAAUAGUGAACAAAGUGAGUAAGCCAGCCGCAUUAGAUUAUUUUAGAGUUUUUCUCUCUCUCUCACGUCAUGUCCUCCACAUCAAGCAUUAAAGCCAAGAUAAGUCAAACAUCUUCGGACUCGGAAUU
rnacentral:lncRNA from 1 species